rnacentral:tRNA from 1 species
UCCCCUCUAGUGUAAUGGCAGCACGCGACGUUUUGGCCGUCGUAGCAUUGGUUCGAAUCCAGUGUGGGGAGCCA